UGGGGAAUUUUGGACAAUGGGCGAAAGCCUGAUCCAGCAAUGCCGCGUGUGUGAAGAAGGCCUUCGGGUUGUAAAGCACUUUUGUCCGGAAAGAAAUCCUCUGGGUUAAUACCUCGGGGGGAUGACGGUACCGGAAGAAUAAGCACCGGCUAACUACGUGCCAGCAGCCGCGGUAAUACGUAGGGUGCAAGCGUUAAUCGGAAUUACUGGGCGUAAAGCGUGCGCAGGCGGUUUUGUAAGACGGAUGUGAAAUCCCCGGGCUUAACCUGGGAACUGCAUUCGUGACUGCAAGGCUAGAGUAUGGCAGAGGGGGGUUAGAAUUCCACGUGUAGCAGUGAAAUGCGUAGAGAUGUGGAGGAAUACCGAUGGCGAAGGCAGCCCCCUGGGCCAAUACUGACGCUCAUGCACGAAAGCGUGGGGAGCAAACAGGAUUAGAUACCCUGGUAGUCCACGCCCUAAACGAUGUCAACUAGUUGUUGGGGAUUCAUUUCCUUAGUAACGUAGCUAACGCGUGAAGUUGACCGCCUGGGGGAGUACGGUCGCAAGAUUAAAA
rnacentral:rRNA from 1 species